UUAGCACUAACUUGCCUUUUCCACUGAACCUUCAAGAUGCCAAGAAUUUCCUCUGUGGGCUAGAGAGGAAUCUCUAGAUACAUGAGCUGGAGAUAAAUAACUUUCCUAUGAGCAGGAUCAAAUUUGAAAUGCACCUAACACACAGAACACAGGCCUGCAACAUGAACAUUCCACAGGACUGACCAUACCUCAUGAGAGCUCUUUAUGGAUCUUGAGGUUGAAGUCUGUUUCUGUCUCCUUCCAUCCCCUGUUGAUGUCUCUGAACUGUAGUGUUAUUUGAGGUCUUUCACAAUAAAUGCCACACAGUAAUUAGAAUCUCA
rnacentral:lncRNA from 1 species